rnacentral:tRNA from 1 species
GCCCGGAUGACUCAGUCGGUCAAGUGUCUGACUUUGGCUCAGGUCCUGAUCUCACGGUUGUGGGUUCGAGCCCCGUGUUGGGCU